rnacentral:tRNA from 1 species
UGGAAAUUAGCUCAGUGGUAGAGCAUUUGCCUAGCAUGUAGAAGGUCUUAGGUUCAAUCCCCAGUAA